UAAAGAUACAGUAACCAUUGUUUCAUAUCAGUAUAAAAAGAGGUGAAACUUAUAGUUACUGCAACUAGAAAAUUCUGCAGUUGAGUUCCAAUUAAAUAAGUAUUACAGACUGUUUGGACCUAAUUUUUGCAAUUUCCUUAUCAGGUUUGACCUUGGCUCACAGCAGGUCCCUCUUUACCUUUUGUAUGGGUUUGUGUAUAUUGUACUGUCUUGUUCCCUAGUUGUACAACACUGAAAUGUAUUGGUACUUUAUAAAUGCCAGUAAUAAUAAUAAAAACAUUUCUCCAUGACUACCCAAAAGAGAUAAAACAUUGCAUUUGUUGGGUCAUAACUAGUUGUGGCAAGUGUUUUAUGUUGGUUAUUGUAUCAGAGAAACUCUAAUGUUUACAUUGCAGGCUCUAAGUCUGCCCUCUGUGGCUGUCUUACCCACUAGAGGGCUUCCAGAAUCCAAACCAACCUUUCGUCGGUUAUCUGACGCUGGACGUCCAGAUUUUCCCGAUAGGAAAGCAUUGAAUAAUGCUGAUGUCGGUGGGGGAGGAGCAUGGGCGGAGCCUGACAUAGCACCGAGGGACAUUGGCACUGGAUUUAGUCACGUGGCUGAAGGGGUUUUAACCCCUUCAGCUCUGCAGGAGGGCGGCCCCGAGGGAGAAGGGAACCUAUUAAACCUAUAGUGCCAGGAAAACUGUUUUCCUGACACUAUAGGAUCCCUUUAAUCAGAUAAAUAAGACCCCCAGACAGUGCUGCAACUCCAGACCUUAAUCAGAUAAAUAAGACCCCCGGACAGUAAUGGAGCUCCAGACCUUAAUCAGAUAAAUAAGAUCCCCGGACUGUUCUGCAGCUCAGAUGAAGCCUAGACUGCUUCCCUCCAUAGGCCUCCUUCUCAUUCGUCCAAGUCUUUGUGAAGUAGAUGAACAAGCAAUGCUUUCAGUAUCACAGUCAGAUAAUACAGCCUGUUUAAAGCUACAUUUAUACUUUACACACAUUGUAUCCUAUCCAUUCUAUUCAUAUAAAGGGCAAAAGAAAAUCUAACGCUUCUACCAGGAGUAAAAAAUAUAUAGCAUAGGGAGAUAGUCUAAAUGGGAACACAGCAUAAAGGGUAUAUUCAUUAAACAGUGCAAUAUAGUAUACGAAACGCAUUAACUGAGGAUCUGCAGAUUGAGGU